rnacentral:rRNA from 1 species
GACGAACGCUGGCGGCGUGCUUAACACAUGCAAGUCGAACGAUGAACCGGUUUCGGCCGGGGAUUAGUGGCGAACGGGUGAGUAACACGUGGGCAAUCUGCCCUGCACUCUGGGAUAAGCCCGGGAAACUGGGUCUAAUACCGGAUACGACACUCCGAGGCAUCUUGGGGUGUGGAAAGUUCCGGCGGUGCAGGAUGAGCCCGCGGCCUAUCAGCUUGUUGGUGGGGUAAUGGCCUACCAAGGCGACGACGGGUAGCCGGCCUGAGAGGGUGACCGGCCACACUGGGACUGAGACACGGCCUAGACUCCUACGGGAGGCAGCAGUGGGGAAUAUUGCACAAUGGGCGAAAGCCUGAUGCAGCGACGCCGCGUGAGGGAUGACGGCCUUCGGGUUGUAAACCUCUUUCAGCAGGGAAGAAGCGAAAGUGACGGUACCUGCAGAAGAAGCACCGGCUAACUACGUG